rnacentral:lncRNA from 1 species
UUCCAUCAAAUACAGGUUUUGCUGGUUGGCCGCCCGUAUUUCAUAUCGUGGACGGCAUAUGCCUGCGUAUCUUACCUUAUUCUGAGAAGGAUUCACAAGGCUGCCAAAGGUGGCCGAGGUACCAAACAUCGUUGAGAACCCCGUUAACUGUACAGUUUCGGGGGGAGCUGCGAAGCCUAAACAGAUAAACAUCAGUCCAAGGUGGUGAAUGGCAGCUAGAGAUACACCCAGCAGCUACAGGAACCCAAGGAGGGGAUUGACUCCGCUUCGGAGAUUCCUGAGCUGCAUCUGGAAUGAAGCCUGAAGAGGAGGAGAGAGAAGCAGGAGGUCACUUGCCGGGAGGGACCUGAACGAGCACGGGACCCCGAAGCCACCAGGCCUCUGUGGAAGCAAGGAGUACCGAGUGUGAAAAGCUUCCUUGCUGUGCUGAGCCCUGGGGGUUCAAGAAUGAAUCAGCGACAGUCUGCAUGGUCGAUGCCAACAUCCGGGUUGACUGCUUUCAGUUGAAUUCAACAACCAAAUGCCUGUUUUGUGCAAGGCUCUUUUCCAGGCACCGAGGAAGCAGCAAGCUGGAUAAAUCCUGGAGGUUCCUCCAGCCGGUGGGACAAAAGAACCAAGUGAGAAUUGAAUGGUGUUUCUUACUGUCUUUUGGCUGAUGGAAAGUUUGAAUAUCUGAUGGAAGUUAUGAGUCUUCUCUCUCUCAANNNNNNNNNNNNNNNNNNNNAAGCACGUAUGUGCACACACACACAAGCAGUUUUGCAAUGAUUUUAGAGUAUUUGGAGAUCUCCCUCCAUCCCCCACCAAGUUUGUCCAUAGAAUGACCUUAGGGUGAGUAUUUUGGGCAUGAAAUGAAAUAGUAAUGCCUUGAAGGAAGCACAAAGCCAUAGUCACUGACUAGAAAGAGAGAUUAGAGAUAAGAUCCAGGUGGGUCAGAGGGGCCGGUGGGGUUGGUAGGAUAGGUAUGUUUUGAUAGACAGGCCUGUCUAGUUAGAGGUCAGGUAUUAGUCUCUGGGAGGCAGCAUUCCAGCAGACAGAAAAGUCUGAGAAAGGGAAGGAGGGUAGGAAGUAGGAAAACUCAAACAAUCCGACAAGCUGAGUUUGGCAGGAGGAAGGUUACAUGACGAGGAAUCAUCAGAAUCAUUAGAAACAAUCACAGAAAGGCAGAGGUCGUAUUUUGAGUGACAUUGCAAGCAAGGUGAGGAUUCUCCCGCCCCUCCUCCCCUCAGUAAAAUAUCUGUAAUUCCUUUUAUUUAGUUAUUUUUUUUAGGUAAGGG